rnacentral:rRNA from 1 species
GACAGAGGUGCCGAGCGUUAGGCGGAAUCACUGGGCUUAAAGCGUGUGUAGGCGGGCGGGCAAGUACCUUGUGAAAUCCCACGGCUCAACCGUGGAACGGCUGGGUAUACUGCCUGUCUUGAGCCAACUAGGGGCGAGCGGAACAGACGGUGGAGCGGUGAAAUGCGUAGAUAUCGUCUGGAACGCCGAAGGUGAAAACAGCUCGCUGGGGUUGUGCUGACGCUGGAGACACGAAAGCCAGGGGAGCGAACGGGG